CGUGAGAAGCCAGGAGGGGGAUUCCUUCCCUCACAAAACCCUAAAUCACUAGAUUCCAUCAAUUGAAAGCCAGAUUAAUGGAAAAUCGAAUGCAUGAGCUAAGAAUCCUGAUUAUCUAAGUGUUCUUGAUCUCAAGAAAUAAGAAAGAAGAAGGAACAAGUCACUCAAAAGCACAAGGAGCUCAGGAUCACGGUAAAUCACAUGCUUGAUUGCGGCGCGCUCGAACCGAACACACACACUAUGUCGCCUCGUGCGCUUCCGGUUCAAGAUAUCUUUUGAAAUGGGUCAAAAUCAUUUUGUGUAGUAAAUGUGAAACUAGUAUUUAGGAUGAUCGUAGUA